rnacentral:lncRNA from 1 species
CCAUUUCUUUUAAUUAUGCUGAGCUCUUCUAAACAUUAUUAUAUCAUUACUUUUUCUUCAAUGUCGACAUGAGCUGUCCUCCACUUCCACUUUCUUUCUCCUUUUUCUUUUUUACAGAGACUCAACUCCUUUCUUCAAUAAUGAUGGCGAUCUUCUUUUUUUUAAUUAGUGUCAUCCUUCUUCUUUCCUUUACCUAAGUCGCCUUUUUCUUCAAGACCAGAUGUCCUUUUUCUUUAAUGUCGCCGACCCUUCCUCCCUUGUUCGCCGAGUCUCUCUUUCAUCUUAAUUAAGCUCACCUGCUUUCAUUGAGGUCAAAGUAAAUUAUCCGACCUACUCAUCGCUGCUCUUUUUUAAAGUCGCCGGCGACCUCUUUGGAGCAGAUCUGCCUUGUCCGUUUUUGAGAUCUCUAAUUACAGACCGACCUCCGUUACAUUCAGCUGCUGCGGUUUGACCUGCUAUCGAGGUAGAUGCUUAUAAAUUAUAUUUUCUCCUUUUGUAUGUUCUUCCAAACUUUGCUGAACUUGCUCCUAUAUCUGACCUCUUUAUUUUUUUUUUUUUUACUUAUCCGAGCUUGAAUCCAUCCGAUCUGUCUUCUGUUUUGAAAUUGAUUUGCUCAAGUUUCUAAACUGAACCAAUCCCUUAUCGCUCUUCGCUGUUAAGCCCACCUUUGAUCUUGACACCCCUUUGAGUUCCAUUUCGCCAAAGUUGAUUUGUUCAUAUUUCCAGAACUCUCUUCCUCACCAGCUUAUGGUCUCCAUUUUUUUGUCGACCUUGUUUCUACUUACCCCGAACUACUGUCCAGUGAAAUCUUCUGAUGUUUCCUCUAAAUUUCAUUCAUCGAUUCUCACAGAUGUCUCCAAACUCGACCGAUUCUACCAGUUCUUCCAGUUCGGAUUCUUCAAGCUCUUCCAGCUCGCCUGAUUCUUCGCCGAGCCAGAGUGAUCCUACUGAAAAACGAGUGGCUUCUCCUGCACCUGCUCCAUCCGAUCCGACUUCGUCUAGUUCCUCCAAUUCUUCUCAAUCCUCGCUGAGCCAGAAAGAUCCGAAAGGAAAACAUGUGGCUACCUCGGGUUCACCGUCCUCGUCUAGUUCUUCCUCGACAUCUGAAAAAGAUUGCCGUAGAGAAGAAAGCAGCUGCUUCAAAGGCAACCUCUGAGUUGCUGAUAGUAGGAAUUUUUCAAUCCUUGAUCAAUUCCUCAACUACUCAUGUCAUUGUAGCACUUGAGGUAUCAAUCCAAAUGGAGAGAUUCUAGACACUAGAACUAUGAGGAUCAAUUCUUAAUCCAAGUCUAAUAAGCAGAUGAGUUGGUAACCAAGAUUAUCUAAAAGCAUAUAACAAAACAAGCAAGAACAAACAGUAAUUAAGAAUUAAACAAGCAAGAGAAACUAAACAAACACUCAAAUUCAAAUAAAAAGAAAGCUAAACCUCUAGAUGUGAUCAUUGAUUAGGGUGCUUUAAAUGUGAAUUCAUGAUGCUAAGCAAACAAUGCAACACUUGCAAAUCUUUAGUCUAGACUUCCAAUUCAGAUUAAUUCAUUCUCAUGACAGAAAUCCCUUUGUUAAUUACCAAUUCAAGACUAAUUCUCAUUAGUGAAUAAGCAAUUAACAAGCAUAAGGUUCCAAGUCUAACAUGACCAGACAGCCUCUUUGUGCAUCAAAAUAAGAGCCAAGAAAGACUGAAUCUUAUACAGAAAGAUAAAGCAAGCAUCACAUGAUCUCAAAUUCCAAUUAACUUAGAACUCUAAUCUAGAUUAAUCCUCUCAUGAAGGCACUAACCUCUACACUAAUCCAUUUUCAAACCAAAUCAUCAUUUGUGAAAUAUGAAUCAAUGAGCAUUAAGAAACAGUUCUAAUAUGCCAUUCAUGCAUUUAACAAUCAUUCCCAUGACAUUAAUGCAUAAACCCUUAGUUAGCUUUCAUUCAGGCAUUUCAUCAAACACUUUUGGUGCAUGAAAAACCCAGAUUCUAGACCCAAGUGAUGUGCAAGGAUCUAGCAUUAGGAUCAGCUAACUAAGGAAAGGAGAAGAGAAUCUAAGCUUAAACAAUCAUUAAUCUACAUCUAAGCACCCUAAUCUACACACCUAGAAGCUUAAAAGAUGACUACUCACUAAUCAUGAAGAACACAUCUAAUCUUUUGCAAGAGAUGAUGUUAAUCAUGAUUAGAAGCAGAAAUGAGAUGAUGAGAUGAUGAGAAACAGACUUAGAUUGAUUAAAUCCUUGAGAUCUCUCUUAAUCAAAAACGUUUUUACACUAAAAAGGAAAGAAAACUAGAGAGAAAACUAAGAGAGAAGAUGAUCCCCUUGGGUUUUUCUCCCAAAAAACUAUAUAUACCUAGUGCUAAUGGACCGGGUCAGCCCAGGACAAACUGGGUACUGACCCGGCUCAGUUGGGUCAAGUGGAAAUCCUGCGGGUCAGUCCAGUAUGUCCCAGGUCGCACACCUAAGUCGCAGUAGAUGAAGACUUGUCUUGUGAAGCCUGAAUCGCCUUGUCUUAGCCGCACGCCUAAGUAGGAGUGUUUUGCGAGUGUUGCUGCGGCUUGGUCUCCUUCCUCUCCAACUCGCAGGGCUAAGGCGGUUUCUGGGGAAUGUACAAACUGUGCGGGUUGGUCUCUAUUGCACCUAGGUCGCAGGCUCAAGUCGGAGUGAUUUGCGAGUGUUGCUGCGGCUUGGUCUCCUUCCUCUCCAACUCGCAGCAUCCAGAGCAGCUUAGACCACUUCGCAUUCCGGAGAGUGUAACUCCUAUGAGACUUGUCCGAAUUGAAUGAUUUCGGUUGCAGAAGACAGAGGACUCAUUUAUCUCCAACUUUGGUGAAGAAAGCUUCGGUGCUUGGGAAGUGUAAGGCUUCCUGGAGGGCACAUCUUUGCAGUGCAUGUACACGACCAGAGAGAGGCGUCUAGACAUGUGUCCAUUCCGGAGACUGUAUCUUUCUGCUCAUAGAUCCGAAUUGAAUGCUCUUGGACGUUCUGGAAAGAAGACUCAAAUUUCUAUGGUUCUCAUGAAGGACCCGGAAACUAAAUCGGCCUGGAAGUGCACCGUCCUUCGCAUCCUUUAGAACUGAUCUGCUCGGUCAGGAAUACCUGCGAGACUGGGGUUCCUUCCGACAAGCUUAUCUCUCUGCUCACGCGUCCGAAUUCCACGAUUCUACUUGCUAAGAGACCGUGAUGCAAUGCUCUCCAACUUCUAUGAAGCACCCGCCGUCUGAAUCGGACCGGAAGGCUCCCCGGACAGGUGAUCAUUCAGGGGUAUCGGAUUGCUCCGGAAUGAGUGGGAGACCUGUUCGUCUUCCGAUUACCAUAUCUUUCAGUUCUAUGGUCCAAAUGCCUUGAUUCCAACUGUUAUGAACUCUUGACUCAAUUAUCUCCAACCUUUAUGAAGACUCCGAUAGCUGAAUCUGACCGGAAGGUUCCCCGGACGGGCGAUUUCGGAAACGUGUCUGCACCCGGAGAUUUUGGCCGAGAGACUUGAUUCGCGGUACAUGAAAAUGGCCGGUAAAGCUUCCCGCGGUACAUGGAAAUGGCCGGUAAAACCUUCCUGGCCAGCGAGAAUGGCCGGUAAUCUCCCAGGACCCAAUUUUCCACUUUUUUCAAGCUUUGCUCACCAUUCCACCUCCUGGAUUCAUCUUUUCAGCUCCAUAUUCACCUGAUAGACACUCAAAACAUGCAAUAUACUCAUUGGGACCUAAUGCAUCUCCUAAGUUCUAAAACAAACCCUAAGGACCUAAAAUGCAUGAAAUAAAACAUAAUUUGGAAUGAUUUAUGCAACCUAAAUGAUGCAAAUUAUGAACAUAUCAGUUGCAAACCGAGAUUUCUGAUCUCAAGGGACAGAUUGUCGAACUCGACGCCAAACGAGAUUUGCUAUCAAAAGAGUUGAAGGACGAACAAACGCGGCUUAGAGGGGCUCGGAACAGAGCACUUCGAGGGUGGAAAAUGGCAACUGAAAAGUGCCAAGUUCGAGUCUAGAAGUCGAACAGGCGCCAAUCCGAGAUUGAAGCGCAAAUGGAACCAUAUCUCGAGUAUAACCAGCUUUGCGGGAUUCUUGGUUUCUGUGAUGAAUACGGUCUGAAAGGCGGUGCGAUUUCUCCAUCUGUUAUCAGCAAGCUUGAGAGGCGCAAGGCACACAGCGAGCUAGGUUCAAGUCGCUCUCUAUGACCGAACUUGAGCCUGAUGAUACCCGUGUUACACCGUUUCGUGACGACCUUUACCCAGGGAUCGAUCAGGUGAUUGGAUUUGAUGUUCCCGCAGGUCUGGACAUGUUUGGAUCUAACUCUGAGGAGAUAUCGGAUAGGCAAGCUUCUGACAUGAGGAGUUGAGCUUCAGACUGAUCUUAGUUUUUUUUUUAAUCUUUUGUUAGACUAUUUUCCUGGUAUUAUAUACAUUGCCUGAGGAGGCUUUUAAACCUUGACUUGUUUGCCCGGGUGGGCUUUUGACGUGUUAUGUUAUGAGGUCGGAUUUUCUAGAAUCUUGUAUUUUUCAUUAAAUACUUGUGUUCGAGGAAGAUUUGACUUUGCGAACUGUGAGUUCGGCUUAUUUUGCAAGUGUUGAAAAUUUGGCUUACAUUUUUCGAGUGUUGAGAACUUGGCUUAUAUUUUGCGAGUGUUGAGAACUCGGCUUAUGGUGCGAAUCUGAGGUGUUCGGCUUAAUUUUUGCGAGUUCAAUGAACUCGGCUUGAAACCCAAGGGAGUUCUCUCGUGAUGGAAGGACGGAGUUCGAAAGAAGCGUUUCCUUGUAAACACACGAUGAAACUCCAGGUUUCCUAGAUCGAAUCGGAGUAUGCGGGAUGAGCCCGGCUUAUUGUUCUCAGAUGACCUAGGAAUAAGUAAUGCGGGACUGGCCCCGGCUUUAAAAAUUGUGGAUUCUUUCACCACGACGCCAUGUGGAGGCUUGCGAGACAGAUCUCGGCUUUUUGAGGUUGCAUUGUUGAGAAAUGCUAUCGAAUGUCUGGCCAGGACAUCGAUGUGAAUACCGAUGAGUUCAGUUACGACUGCGAACAUAGGAGUUCAGCUUAACAGAUACUUAGAAAAAUUAAAAUUUAUUAAUAUACCAGCUGAACUCUUGACGAGCUGCCUACGUACCCGCGAAGGGAUCAAACCAUUCGUAGUUCAUGUUACAACGUUUAGAGCUCGUAGAGUGUUCCUUUUUUUUUUUGAUCGGGUUACUGAUCUAAUAGUAGACCUAAUAGUAGUAUCUCUUCAUACUCAUCGAAUUCCACGAUCUCAGAAUUGGAGUUCCAUCCAUCUUCAUGAGUUGAUAAACACCUGGUUUUACGACCUUCAUUAUCUGAUACGGGUCUUCCCAAUUGGCACCGAGCUUACCAGCGUUUUUUUCCUCUGUAUUCUGAAACACUUUUCGGAGAACGAGAUCACCGUCUUCGAAAAACCGACCUCGAACUUUCUUGUUGUAGUAUCGCGCCGCCAUGUGUUGAUAAUUCUGAAUUCGGAGUAAUGCUUGGUCGCGUUGCUCUUCUAGUUCAUCAAGUUUGUCGUACAUCAUUUGGUCGUUAGUUUUGGGAUAUUGAGUGAGCAUCGUCCUUCUGAUGGGCGGAAUUGAAAUUUCAGCUGGGCAAAGAGCCUCGACACCAUAUGCUAAGGAAAAGGGAGAUUGUCCUGUUGAUCUUCGAGGUGUUGUUCGAUGCGACCAUAAUACUCCGUCGAGUUCGUCAGACCAAGUUCCUUUCUUUUCAGUGAGCCGUUUUUUUAGGCCGUCUAUAAUAGUUUUGUUUGUCGCUUCUGCUUGACCAUUGCCCUGAGGGUACCUAGGUGUAGAGAAGUUCAAUCGAAUUUUCCAUUCAGCGCAAAAGUCUUGAAAAACGGCCGAAGUGAACUGAGAUCCGUUGUCGGUGACAAUCUCAUAAGGAAUCCCGUGUCAACAAAUGAUGUUUUUCUAGACGAAUUUCUUGACCUCGUUUCCGUGUAUUUCUGGGUAGGCUUUGGCUUCGACCCAUUUGGUAAAGUAGUCCGUCAUGACGAGGACGAACUGCUUUUGAGUUGUGGAUCGGCAAAAAGGGCAUAUGAUGUCCAUCGCCCAUCGCAUAAACGGGUAAGGAGCUGUGGAGGUUGUUAACAGUUCAGUAGGAAGGUUGAUCAUUGGGCCAUGCCUUUGGUACCUCUCACACUUAGCGACAAAUUUUUCGCAACUGAAACCAUAGUAGGCCAGAAAUAGCUUGCCUUCUUUAUCUUCAGGGCGAGAGACCGACCUCCAGAGUGAUUCCCACCUGAUCCUUCGUGAACCUUCUUCAUAAUUUCCUUAAUCUCUUUGCCGGAUACGCAGAUGAGAAGAAUUCCUGCUGCGCUCCAUCGGAAUAGGCCGUCCUUGAUCAUCAUAUACCGAGCCGCACGCAUUUUUAGUCGGUGUGCUUCCCAUUUGUCCGGUGGUAGCUCUUCAUUCGCUAAGUAUGCUAUAAUUUCUUGCGUCCAAUCUGGAGGUACUUCCUCAUCGUUUUCGUCCACAUUUAGUGGGUCGUGACGACCUUCGGAAGGAAGUUCAGCAUCGUCUUCGUUCUCUUGAACGAGGUCGGUCUCGUCAAUCCGACCAUCAAAAUUGAGUGGCAGAUUUGUGUCACCCAAUGUGCGCCUUCGACGUCGUAAAGGUGGUUCAAGAUUCGGUUCCGCCUCAUAAUCUCUUCGUCGGGUAGUAACGUUGCAAUCCUUCAUAGUUUUGAUACUGGGUCGUGAGAUACUUUCAAUCGGGAUUGUUCGUUUGAGAUGUGGAUCCGAAUUUGAUGCGAGAGCUGCUAAGGCAUCGGCAGGCGCAUUCUCUCCUCGAGGAAUUUUCGUAAGGUUGAAUGUGUUGAACUCUGCUGCGAGUUGCUUAACUAGUUGUAGGUAGGCCUCCAUUCGAUCAUUUUUGGUAUCAUACUCCCCGCUGAACUGACUAGCAACGAGCUGAGAAUCGCAGUAGGCGUGAAGAUGUUGUGCGCCGAUUUCCUUUGCAAGACGGAGGCCGGCGAUAAGUGUCUCGUAUUCGGCUUCGUUGUUAGACGCUGGAAAGUCUAAACGAAAAGAUUGUUCCAACAGUUUGCCGGUCGGUGUUUUAAGCUGAAUACCAAUUCCAUAUUCUUUAUAGGAUGACGAUCCAUCAACGUGAAGCACCCAUUUUUCAGCUUCGGUUAAGUCAGCUUUGAUGAGUUCGGGUGAAAGUUCAAUAAAAAAAUCGGCUAACACUUGUGGUUUUGCGCUAGUCCGGUUUUUGUACCCAAUGUCGUACUUGCUUAGUUCGAUAGCCCACUUCGCAAGACGUCCUGACUGGCUGGGAUUGUGCAAGAUAGCGCGGAGCGGUUGGUCGGUGAGCACCGUGAUGGAGUGGGACUGAAAGUAGGGUCGGAGUUUUCGCGCCAAGGUGACAACAGCCAAUGCCAAUUUUUCUAAGGUCGGGUAUCGUGACUCCGCGUCGUUGAGUGCUUUGCUUGUGUAGAAAAUUGGCUUCUGCUCGCCACGAUCUUCUCUGACAAGAACGCUACUGACAGCCGAGACAGAUACUGCAAUGUACACAUACAGGGUCUCGCCGUCCUCUGGUUUGGCUAAAAUCGGAGGAGUAGACAAGUAUUCCUUUAAUUGUUUGAAUGCGUGUUCGCAGUCGUCGUUCCACUCAAGAUGCUUAUUGCCACGAAGGAUUUGGUAAAAAGGUAAGCAUUUGUCCGUUGAUCGAAAUAUGAAUCUAUUUAGUGCAGCAAUUCGUCCUGUAAGCUUUUGGACUUCGCGCUUCGUGGUCGGGGAUGGAAGCUCGAGGAUCGCCGUUAUCUGUUUUGGGUUAGCUUCGAUCCCUCUCCGAGUCACAAUAUAUCCGAGAAAUUCACCGGACGUAACUCCGAAUGUACAAUUAGUAGGAUUUAGCUUCAUGCCAUACUGGUCAAGUAUCUCGAAACAGGUUUGGAGAUGUCGAACAUGAUCUUUGGCGAGAAGAGACUUGACGAGCAUGUCGUCAAUGUAGACCUCCAUGGUUCGGCCGAGCUGACUGGCAAACAUUCGGUUAACAAAUCGUUGGUAGGUCGCCCCAGCGUUCUUUAGCCCAAACGGCAUGACUUUGUAACAAUAAAUUCCACGAUCCGUGAUAAAAGAAGUCUUUUCACGGUCUUCUGGAUGCAUAAGUAUUUGAUUAUAACCGGAGAAUGCGUCCAUAAACGAAAGAAGUUCGUUUCCUGCGGUCGCCUCUACCAGCCGAUCAAUAUGUGGUAAAGGGAAACUGUCUUUGGGACAAGCUUUAUUCAGGUCGGUGAAAUCAACGCAAAUUAUCCAUUUCCCGUUCUUCUUUUUGACGACGACGGGAUUAGCAAGCCAAUCUGGAUAUCGAACUUCAGUGAUAGAUCCUGCUUGAAGUAGUCGCUCGACUUCGUCAUUAACGGCUUGUGCCUUUUCAAGUCCAAGUUUGCGUCUUUUUUGUUUGACGGGUUUGAAAGUAGGGUCGAUAUUGAGUUCGUGGCGUGCCACCUUUGGAUCUAUGCCCGGCAUAUCGCUGAUCGACCAUGCGAAGGUUGUCACGUGCUUGCAGAGGAACUGAAGUAUAUCUUCCCUGAUUUCUGGAUCCAGGUCGGCACCUAUACCGACCUGUCUUUCAGGGAAAGUCUCGUCGAUGCUGACCUGAACUACCGUUUCUUGUGGUGGCUUCUGCUUUUGAGUUAUUGGGUCGGACUUCGCUCUGAUGGCACACGAUUGAUUAGCAAUUCGGAGCUUGCAUUCAUUAAUGUAACAUGAUCGAGCUGUAGCUUGAUUUCCACGAAGUGUAUAAAUUCCUCCUGAAGUUGGAAAUUUGACGCACUGAUGAUAAGUAGAAGCUACUGCCUUCAUUGCAUGGAGCCAAGGCGUUCCGAGGAUGGCGUUGUAGAUUGCUGGUGUCUUCAUGACGAAGAACUUAACAGUUUUUGCAACACCCGCAACGUAGAUCGGUAUUUUGACAGUACCGACUGUCAUGGUUUGCUCUCCCGUGAAUCCUGUUAACGGUUCGAUGUCCGCCUUACUUUUUUCCUUAGGAAAAUCCAUCUGCUCGAGUGUAUCUCGGAAGAUGACGUUAACCAAACUGCCAGUGUCGAUCAAGACUCGACUUACUUCGACAUCGUCAAAGAGUAGGUCGACUACAAGAGAAUCGUUGUGUGGCAUUUGGAGACCGAUUGUAUCCGCUUCUGUGAAUGCAAUGGCUGGUCCGCUCGUCGUUGUUGCGCUGAGUUUUGACGCGGUAAUCGCCUGUCGACUAUACUCUUUUAUCCCCCGAACUGAGUAGUUGCACAUCUCGAGUUUGCCCAUGAUAAAGUUGACUCGUUUCCUAGGUUUUGGUACAUGGGUGUCUGUGUCGUUGUUUUCCCGACCUUGUUUUUGCUGCUCGGGUCUGGCUGGUUGUGGGUUAUCUGUUUGGUUGUACCAGCGGUGUCUUGGAUCCUUUCGUUUAUGACUGUAUUAGGUUGCUCUUGCUUUUCAUUGUUGCAUCGGAAAGGAGUUCGGCGAACAUCGUCCAUUGAAAUUGAUACUUUUCUGAAUUGUUCUAGGAGGUAAUCUUUCAAGUGUCGGCAUUCUUCGGUGCUGUGUCCUUUACGGUUGUGGAAUUCGCAGAACAAUGUCUCGUCUUGAUCGUCAUUACCGCAAAUCCAUUUGUUGUUCCAUGGUCGCUGUGGUUGAGCCGAGUUGACAUUGUUACUUGUGAAUUUUCGUCGAUUGUCGAAUCCUCUAUCGUAGGUCGGACGUGACUCGUUAUUAUCAUUUUUAGGUCUCUCUUUUGGGUCGACCUGCUUUUGUGAAGAUUUGCUCUGAUCGUAGGCGGCCUCCUCUUCCUCCUCUGCAAUAUAUGAGUUCGACCGAUGGAGUGCGUCCUCGAGUGUAAGCGGUGGGUUGUGUUUGAUCGCUUUGUGAAAGGAUGACUUAAUCCGAGUUGCCUUGUGCAAACACUCGAGGGUGGCCUCGUCGCUGACCGUGCAAUGGACGACAACUGACUUGAAACGUUUGAUGAAGUCGCGGAGACUCUCGUUUUCUCCCUGAACCAUUCGCCAUAGUUUGGCAUUUCGCGUCUUUUGCCCGAUAAACAUCGAAAAAUGUUUAACGGACGCUGUUGAGAGUUCGGCAAAACUGUUUAUGGAGUUCACUUGAAGUCGAGUGAACCAAUCGAGAGCAACUCCUAGGAGAUUUUCAACGAAAAACUGACACCUCACUGGAUCUUUUUCUUCUGUCGUCCGGAACUGAAAGCGGUUCAUGACGAUGCCAAAAGAUGUCAGAAAGUGCUUUGGGUCGGAAUCUCCUUCGUAAGUUUUGAGUUUUAACUUCUCAAGGUGCCGAACAGGAGUGUUAGCGAUUCUAGGAGUGAAUGGCGUCUUUUGUGCCUCUUGGAUAACGCGAUCAAUUUCGGGAGCUGCACUGGUUGCUUUGUGAAUCUGUGAGGUGAUUUCACGAAGUUUGACCUUCAUGGCUUCGAAUUCUUCGUCGCGAUUGAAGGUGGAUUGAGUGGCUGGGUUGCCAGUAGAUCCUAAGGCUGUAGAUCGGACUGUUCCAGUUGGGGGUUCCUCUGAGUUGAGGUCGCCAAUUAAGUUACGACCUCGCAAUGGAGUUUGCGUUUGACUGAGUUCUGCGAUUUGGGACACCAUGACGUCCAAACGUUCAUUGUUAUGUUUUGUUAUUUCUUGAAACUGAGCUGUUAUUGCCUGAAGAAUGGCGUUUUGGUCAAACUGCCCAGAGUUUGCUGGAGUUUCCGUAUUGUUCGGGUCAGUUCGGUUGGGAUUUUCCGGAGUGCUAUCGUUGUCGCCAUUCCUUGUUUCGGAAGCAGUUAGGUCUGCCAUUGCCAAACUUGUUCUUCUUUAUCGAGCUAGAUUGAAAAUAUUACUGUAAUUCCCCACGGAUGGCGCCAAUUGUUGAUAUAUAAUAUCACACUAAGGGGUAAAACAGUAAUAUUCGAAUCAAAAGUCUCGUUUAUUAGAAGAUAGUUCGGAAAAAUACAACUUGAGUUAAGGUCGUCGUAGUUCCGACGACCUCGUUAGCAAAGAUAGAACUCGAAAUAAAGUUGACGAUCUCAAAGUUCUUCAAAGGUCUCUCUCUGCUGUUGAUUUGCGGAUGCCUUGAAUGAAUGAAGCUCUCCCCUAUUUAUACGAAUUCUAAGGCGGUUUGAGAAGAACUUUCCUUUUCCUUCUCGAUGUGGGAUUUAACAUUUUCUUCUCCGAUAUUUCCGGAAAUGCUCAGUGAAAUUCGGGAAAGUCGGCCAAUUUCGUAAAUUGGACUUUAAUGGACCUUCUAGAAAGUCAUACGUCGGCCCACCCGAUUUAACCUCGAUUUCAAUCUUCGUAAACCGAGGUCUUUCUGGACCGGUCUCGAUUAAUACCGAGUUAACCGGGGGUGCGAAGUACACCACCAACAGCCACUACCACCACCGGCUGCUGCAACUGCAGCUGGAGGAGCUCGAGAGGCCCGACGAAACCCACCACAACCAGAAGAGGAGAUGCCCAUGUUGGAAGAUGAUGUUCCAUCCGAUCCGUUAAUACGUCAACAAGCUCAAUACCCCUUGAGAAGACAGAACGCGAGACAAGACGAGCCUAGAGAGGGUAACUUAUAUGUUAAGCUCACUCCUCCAACUUUUGCAGGCAAGUCGGACCUUGAUGUCUACCUGGAUUGAGAGAGAAGACUCGAAUACAUCUUCGAGUGUUACGGUUACUCUGACUGCAGGAAAGUGGCACUAGCUGGUGCCCAACUUACCGACAACACCUUAGCUUGGUGGGACAGAAACGUAGCGGACAGGAGGAGAAACCGUUUUGCACCGGUUACAACAUGACGAGACAUGAAGUUAUUGCUCCGAUCAAGGUAUGUACCUGAUCAUUAUCACCGGGACUUACAAAACUGUUUUAGAAAGUUGUCGCAGGGAAUUAGGUCUGUGGAUGAAUAUUUUGAAGAGUUUGAGAAGCUAGUGAACCUGUUGGAGCUCGAGGAGACUGAGGAGGCGUUGAUGGCGCAGUUUAUAAAUGGCUUACAAGAGCGUAUAACUCGUAAAGUGGAGAAAGCUCAAUAUAGUGGGAUGCACGAACUGUUGCACUUGUCAGUGCAAGUGGAGCAGCAGAUCAAGCGCAAAACAUCCAUGUCAAACAGGAAUUGUGCCCCUCAAACCUGGAAUGAAAGUAGCUCUAAACCGGUGGACAAAGGAAAUGCCAUAGAAAUAGCUGGUUGUCUCCUCUUGAAUUUCUCCAAAAGCUGGAUCAGAUGGUGAGAAAGUCUUCAUUUGAGGCUGAACUUUUGACGGUCUGACUCUAAGCUAAAAAUAUGGAUUUCUUCCAUUUUGCCAUUUUUUUCCUUAAGUUUCCUGAAAAUAGCCUUGAAACUACAAAUUUAGAAAAAUCAUAAUAAAAGUUCCUAAAACUGAUUAAAACCUUUAAAAAAGCAUUUGAAAUCAAUGGUGAAAAUGGGUACAAAUACGGUGUUAUCAACUCCCCCAUAUUUAGACUUUGUUUGUCCUCAAACAAAACAAGAUCCAUUAUGGAAAAUGUAUGAUAUGUUCAUAAAAUACAUCAUUUAGAUUGCAUAUUUCAUUCUAAAUCGUGUCUUAUUUCAUGCAUUUAAGGUCUUUAGGCAUUGUUUUAGGACUUAGGAGUUUGCAUUAAGCCCAAGUGAGUCUUUGCAUGGUUUGUAGUCUUAAACAUGUAAUAUUGAGGACAUUUGGAGUGAAGAGAGUGAACCAGAUAAAGAAAUAGAGUUUGGAGGAUCAUAAAUGGUGGAAAUGGUGUUUUUGGAUCCAUCGGCAAAGCCAUGUACCGCAGGCUACAAUUUCUCGGCUAAAAUGCUUACCGGGUGGAGUUUUCAUCGGCCAAACACUGUAUCGGAACAAAGGAAUCAUCAGUUAAAACUUUAUGCCAAAAUAACUAUAUUAUGACAAAAACAUUUCGUCACAAUAAACAUAAUUUCGUAGCAAUAAAAUUUUUGUGACGGAAUUGUGACGUUUUUUGGACAUCACAAUACAGUCGUCACAAAUUUUUUUUCGUAACAAAAACGUCACAUCUGUUGUGACGAAUAUAUCUAGUAACUGCUUCGUCAAACUGCUUCGUCAUCAAUGGUGACGAGAAAUAAAAGUUACAAAACUGUAUCAAUUGGAGACUAAAGAAAAUGUCUCAGACCAUCAUAUUUUAUGACUGUUAUAAUGUCUCAAAUCUGUCACUCAUUUUGACGAAAUUUUAGUUCUAAAUCGUCAUAAAUAAUGACUAGGGAAUCGUUGUCUAUUCGUUAUACUUACCUACUAUCAAUUAUGUAACUUAUUUCGACGAAAAUUUAGUUGCAAACACGUGUAAUGACAUAAAGAACAUUGGCUAUCGAUCUUAGUUUGCAACUAUUUUUUGUCCUAAUUAACUAAUGAUAAACUGACCAUAUUAAAAAAAGCUAUAUUUUCAUAAAUGAAACCAUGAUACAUAUUUGUGAAUAAAGGAUAGGUUGCUCAGCAUCGUCCUCGGAUCUCAAGCUUGACCUUUCUCGCCUUCAAGAAAUCUCAAACUUGCUGUUUUCUUUGCCCGAAGAAGCUUUCAUCUGGUUUACAACUUGCAAACCUGGCUCGAUACCCAUUUUGACCAUAUAUGAGUUGGAACAGAAACCACCAACAAAUGAAAUCUGUAAAUUUUUCCAUAUGAGAUUGCUGUUGAAAAAAACUUUAUGCUGAAGUACCUUAUUAGAUGAUUUCAUAAUUACCUCAGAUGUUAUUCCUUCUAGUGCAGGCUUCAUAUAAUCAGGUGAGCAAAUCACGUAUUGUUUUAGUAAAAAAGAAAAAAAGAAAGGCAGGUCAUUUUCCAGUCUUUUAAUUUUCAAAUUGAGGAAGAAACAGAAUGCGUUUUUGGAUUUUGG